AGUGAACGCUGGCGGUAGGCCUAACACAUGCAAGUCGAACGGCAGCACAGUAAGAGCUUGCUCUUACGGGUGGCGAGUGGCGGACGGGUGAGGAAUACAUCGGAAUCUACUUUUUCGUGGGGGAUAACGUAGGGAAACUUACGCUAAUACCGCAUACGACCUACGGGUGAAAGCAGGGGAUCUUCGGACCUUGCGCGAUUGAAUGAGCUGAUGUCGGGUUAGCUAGUUGGCGGGGUAAAGGCCCACCAAGGCGACGAUCCGUAGCUGGUCUGAGAGGAUGAUCAGCCACACUGGAACUGAGACACGGUCCAGACUCCUACGGGAGGCAGCAGUGGGGAAUAUUGGACAAUGGGCGCAAGCCUGAUCCAGCCAUACCGCGUGGGUGAAGAAGGCCUUCGGGUUGUAAAGCCCUUUUGUUGGGAAAGAAAAGCAGCAGGUUAAUACCCCGCUGUUCUGACGGUACCCAAAGAAUAAGCACCGGCUAACUUCGUG
rnacentral:rRNA from 1 species